rnacentral:rRNA from 1 species
UACGAAGGGGGCUAGCGUUGCUCGGAAUCACUGGGCGUAAAGGGUGCGUAGGCGGGUUUUUAAGUCAGGGGUGAAAUCCUGGAGCCCAACUCCAGAACUGCCUUUGAUACUGAAAAUCUUGAGUCCGGGAGAGGUGAGUGGAACUGCGAGUGUAGAGGUGAAAUUCGUAGAUAUUCGCAAGAACACCAGUGGCGAAGGCGGCUCACUGGCCCGGUACUGACGCUCAUGCACGAAAGCGUGGGGAGCAAACAGG